GACGGUCUUGCUGUCACUUAUAGAUGGAUCCGCGCUGCAUUAGCUAGUUGGUAAGGUAACGGCUUACCAAGGCAACGAUGCAUAGCCGACCUGAGAGGGUGAUCGGCCACACUGGAACUGAGACACGGUCCAGACUCCUACGGGAGGCAGCAGUAGGGAAUCUUCCGCAAUGGGCGAAAGCCUGACGGAGCAACGCCGCGUGAGUGAUGAAGGUCUUCGGAUCGUAAAACUCUGUUAUUAGGGAAGAACAUAUGUGUAAGUAACUGUGCACAUCUUGACGGUACCUAAUCAGAAAGCCACGGCUAACUACGUGCCAGCAGCCGCGGUAAUACGUAGGUGGCAAGCGUUAUCCGGAAUUAUUGGGCGUAAAGCGCGCGUAGGCGGUUUUUUAAGUCUGAUGUGAAAGCCCACGGCUCAACCGUGGAGGGUCAUUGGAAACUGGAAAACUUGAGUGCAGAAGAGGAAAGUGGAAUUCCAUGUGUAGCGGUGAAAUGCGCAGAGAUAUGGAGGAACACCAGUGGCGAAGGCGACUUUCUGGUCUGUAACUGACGCUGAUGUGCGAAAGCGUGGGGAUCAAACAGGAUUAGAUACCCUGGUAGUCCACGCCGUAAACGAUGAGUGCUAAGUGUUAGGGGGUUUCCGCCCCUUAGUGCUGCAGCUAACGCAUUAAGCACUCCGCCUGGGGAGUACGACCGCAAGGUUGAAACUCAAAGGAAUUGACGGGGACCCGCACAAGCGGUG
rnacentral:rRNA from 1 species